CGAUUCUGGCUCAGGAUGAACGCUAGCUACAGGCUUAACACAUGCAAGUCGAGGGGCAGCAUUGGAGUAGCAAUACUCAGAUGGCGACCGGCGCACGGGUGAGUAACACGUAUCCAACCUGCCGCUUACUCGGGGAUAGCCUUUCGAAAGAAAGAUUAAUACCCGAUGGUAUAAAGAGUUCGCAUGUUCUCUUUAUUAAAGAAUUUCGGUAAGCGAUGGGGAUGCGUUCCAUUAGAUAGUUGGCGGGGUAACGGCCCACCGAGUCUACGAUGGAUAGGGGUUCUGAGAGGAAGGUCCCCCACAUUGGAGCUGAGACACGGUCCAAACUCCUACGGGAGGCAGCAGUGAGGAAUAUUGGUCAAUGGACGAGAGUCUGAACCAGCCAAAAGUAGCGUGAAGGAUGACUGCCCUAUGGGUUGUAAACUUCUUUUAUAAGGGAAUAAAGUGAGGGACGUGUCCCUUUUUGUAUGUACCUUAUGAAUAAGGAUCGGCUAACUCCGUGCCAGCCGCGGC
rnacentral:rRNA from 1 species